rnacentral:lncRNA from 1 species
UGGGUAGAAUCUGGCUUAUUUUUGCAGUAAGUAACAUACAUCUGGAACUUGUCUGCCCAUGUCACAAAGCAGUGUCCAACAUCUUCUGGUAACUGUUCAUAUUUUUCUAGCUCCUUGAGGAAUAUAUUAUUGUGGAACUCAUAGAUUUCCUGCAUGUUUCCAAAGAUAAUAUGCUCUUUGUUUACAAUACCAGGUGGGAUCUCCUCAACUCCACUUGUCAUUUCCCAUAGAUAUGUAUCCAUGCAUUCUCGGAGGUCUCUUACGUAAGCCUUUUCUGUCUGAAUUAGCUCAGCCAUAAUAAACUCUUUCCUGCGG